CACAUGGUUUUUUUCAAAGCCACAAAAUCUUUGAUUAAUUUUUAUU
rfam:Capsicum annuum cultivar Zunla-1 chromosome 12, whole genome shotgun sequence